AUGAUCACUGUUCAUUAACAGUGAUUUGACCGAAAUGCCCCUCUUUUGAUCACCAUGGCCCGUUGUUUUUUGUGUUCAGCACAGUGAAAUUACGUGUUUACCCCCAUUGUCCACCUGUCGAUCAUCGUGAAGGUUAGCUGAAUUGGGUCUGCUUCGAAACAAACUCCACUUUUGCUUCCAUUUCGUCUUCUCUCUCAGAAACAUUACCCUCUCUCUCUCUCUCUCUCACUCAGAAAGCACCAACAACAUUGUUUGGCUUGCAUAGGUUCGUGAAUUUGAUGAAAAUUAAAAUGAAUUUAAGGAAAGGAGUUUGAAGAAAGCGAAGGUAUGCAGAUGCUACAUGUUGAGAUACUUCUGUAAGGUUUACAAUCACACUACUUUUGUUGAAUAUCUCUUAUGGCAAUCAUGUUUCCUUAACUAUGUACUACUGCCUUACUCAAGCUUUUUAUUCAGUUUUUGUACACUCGAUUGGUUUUUUCUGGUUGGUUCGAAAUACUUUUGAGAUUGGGAGACAAACCAGAAAUUCAAAUCAAAAAAAAAAAAAAAAAAAAAAAAAAAAAAAAAACUUGAAUUUGGUCCCGAUUAGAAGAAAAUUUUAAGCCCAGAAAAAGCUGCUUUCCCUGGUGAGUUUUUCGGCCAAUUUGGGGUUGAUAAUUAUGUGAUUUGAAUAUUCUGUGUUUAGAACUAUAUAUUUGAAUUUCAAAAUGAGUUUGAUUUGCAAAUUUCCCUUUUUUAUUUUGGGGGUUUUGUUUUCAAACUUGAAUGCCUUUGAUUUCUCAAGCCCUGUAUACUCAAGGUAAGCAAUUUAAAGUUUUGUUUAAGUUUUAUUAUAUUGGAGUUGAAUUUGGUUGCACCUUGGAGUUUGAUUUUGUUUAAGUUUAUAUUGAAGUUGAAUUUGGUUGUUCCUUGGGGUUGACUUUGUUCAAGUUUUGGUGGAUUUAUUUAUUUAUUUUUUUUUUCAUUUUUCUUAUCCAUUUCUUUUUGUGAUGAUACAUGCAUGUAAAGUCCACUGUAGGAGUUCUGUAAUAACAGUUCUCCUUAUCGUGAGGGAAUAUAUUGUCAUCCAGUUUGUAGGAAUGAGAGGACUAAAUUGAUGUAGCCUGAAAUAGUUUAGAGGAGUGCAUGUAUAAAUAAUAAACGUAAAACUUAUUUUUCGUGUUUUUGUUUAUCUUAUUUAUGCUUUUAACUACAUGGCAUAGGUCUAACAUGAUUAGAACUUUAAUAUCAUGAUGUGUGAUGCUAAUUAAGCACAAUAUGAGUAUCUGUACCAAGAAAAACAUGAGCAUCUAUAUGUUCCUAUUGAGUCAAGUGAGGCAUCUUAUGCACAAGCACGAGUCAUGACUAAUUAAUGACCUACGAAAUAAACCAUUUUUAAGACCUUAUAUCAUUUAGAUCUUUAGUUAUGUAACAAGCUGGUCAUUAUGUUGCAGAUUGAGACAAGUUUUGGAAAAGAAAACGAAUUUAAUUAAGUUUGGAGUUGAUUUUCUUUGAGUUUAGAGGGUAAGUUCUUUAGCCGAUUUGGGGUGGGUAAUUUUGUGUUUAGAACUGUAAAUUCUGUGCAAAUUUCAUUUUUCUGAUUUUGGGGGUUUUAUUUCCAGGCUAGAACGCUGUCGUUUUCUGAAGCCCUCUGUACACAAGAGAGUGAAAAGUGCAUUGUUCAUAAAGGCAAAA